rnacentral:lncRNA from 10 species
GCGGCGCUGCGCGGCGCGGCUGCCGGGAGUCCCCGGCACGGGUUGCGGGCCGGGGCGGAAAGGUCUCCUGGCUGUCUGAGGUCCAGUCCCCGACUCUGGGCCUGCAGCAGCGAGUGGCGGCGAGGGAACCGCACCCCACAGUCCCCGCGGGCGGGGAUGCGGAAGGCACCGCGGCUGGGAGGGGACCGGCCCUCCGCGCCCCACCCCGUGCACGCGCUCACUCCUGCGGCGCACCCGGAACUGCCGCCGAGCGCGGACCGGCCCGGCCCAGCCCAACCCAGCCCAACCCAGCACUGGGGGAGCGCGCCGGGAGCGGGGCAGGAGCCCAGCGCUGCCGCUCGCUACGGCAGGAUCUGGAGCGCCGCGCUGCACCUGAGCCCGGGCACGAAUUGAGGAGCCUCGGGCUGACGCCAUUUAUUCAGCACCUACUAUGUGCCAGGCCUUGUUUAGGCACCGGAAGAUAACAGAUAAGACAUAAAGAUCCCUGCCGGUAUAGCUGCAGACAGAAUAUCUGUGAGGAUGACACAGGUAGAGAUUAGAAAAUUAAGUUCAACAGGUCGGCCGCGGUGGCUCACGCCUGUAAUCCCAGCACUUUGGAAGGCCGAGGCGGGCCAAGGUCAAGAGAUCGAGACCAUCCUGGCCAACAUGGUGAAACCCCGUUUCUACUAAAAAUACAAAAAUUAGCUGGGCGUGGUGGUUCGCUCCUAUAGUCCCAGCUACUCGGGAGGCUGAGGCAGGAGAAUCGUUUGAACCCGGGGGCAGAGGUUGCAGUGAGCCAAGAUCGCGCCACUGCACCCCAGCCUGGCGACAGAGCAAGACUCUGUCUCAAAAGAAAAAAAAUUAAGUUCAACAAAUGCUAGCUGUUAUGAGUACUGUUGAAUGUGCUACAGAGAACCAUUCCAUUAGCCCAGAAGGGCUUCCUCGCUCCACAAAGUGACUCAAGUUUCUCUCUCCCAAUCUCUCUCUCUCUCUCUCAAUCAAAUAUUUGUUAAGCUUAGUCUAGGUAGCAGGAGAGAUCUGGAUUGCUAACAAUAUCUGCCUCCGUGGCCUGUUUGCUUUGGUUAAAUCAAAUUAGGCGAUCUGUGAGGGGAUGGUAAACUGCACAGAUGACAGGAAUUGUUUCCCUGAGCCAGGCCCUGUCCUCAGGGAGCUCAUAGACAAGUCGAAGCUUUCACAGGUAGCCACUGGCAGAAAAAGCAUACGGAGAGAAGAGGUCAUGAAGAUAAAGAGGAACCAGCAGAAAGACUGAGAAGGAAUGACCCGCGAGGCAGGAACAGGACCAAGAAAAGGUGGUGUCCUUCUUGGAUACCAAGGGAUGGAGGCCAAGCCUGAAGGAAAGUUCAUUCACUGGACAGGUCACUCCACAGAUUGGCUGCCCACUGCUCAGAUCCUGCCCCUAGAUCCAUCAGCUAUUGCUAUGAGCAUGGAGACACAUGGCAUUAAACAUGGUCAUCUACAAGGGGUUGUGAAUUGGUAUGCAGGCACUAUAAAUUUUGUUUAUUUUAAAAUUUUUUGGCCAAGCAUGGUAGCUCACGCCUGUAAUCCCAGCACUUUGGAAGCCUAGGUGGGAGUAUUGCUUAAACCCAGGAGUUCGAGACCUCACUGACAAAGUGAGACCCCGUCUCUAUAAAAAAGUCAAAUAAUUAGGCAUGGUGGCACAUGCCACUGGUCCCAGCUACACAGGAGGCUGAGGCAGGAAGAUUCCUUCAGCCCAGGAGAUUAAGGCUGCAGUGAGCCAUGAUUGCACCACUGCAUUCCAACCUGCACAACAGAGUGAGACCCUCGUAUCCAAAUAAAUAAAUAAAUAAAUAAAUAAAUAAAUAAAUAAAUAAUAACUUUAUAAUUUAAAUAGGGACGGGAUCUCACCAUGUUGGUCAGACUGAUCUUGAACUCCUGGGCCCAAGUGAUUCUCCUGCCUUGGCCUCCCAAAGUGUUGGGAUAUCAGGUGUGAGCCACAACAUCCAGGCCAUAAAUAUCUUUAGCAAUGUUUCUCGUCUCAUCCUCUUUUAAAGACCCUAACCCCCUUGAAGUUCAUACUGUGAUAUUUUUCCACCUGCCACACCCUUUUUUUUUUUUUUUUAGCUUUCAUGAACUUACCUCCAUCUCCCCUUCUACACUUUCUUUAGGACUUCAGCAUCCAUAAGCAUAAUCCACCAGAAAUCUUACUGACUUCUCCCUGAUUUCUUCCCUACCAAUCAGUUUCCUUUGCCUCUCUCCAGGUCCCACUCCUGUGGUCUUACCCUGGCCUGUUCUCGCCUUUAACUGCACUAUCUCAGAAAUCACAAUCACACUGGCCAGGCAUGGUGGCUCAUACCUAUAAUCCUAACACUUUGGGAGGCUAAGCCCAGGAUUUUGAGACCAGCAUGGGCAACAUGGCAAGACCCCAUUUCUAUAAAGAUUUUUUUUUUUAAUUAGCCAGGCAUGGUGUCAUGUACCUGUGGUCCCAGCUACUUGGAAGGCUGAGGUGGGAGAACCUCUUGAGCCCAGGAGGUUGAGGCUGCAGUAAGCUGUGUUUGUGCCACUGCACUCCAGCCUGGGCAACAGAGUGAGACCCAGUCUCCAAAAAAGAAAAGAAAUCACAGUCACAAAGAUCUCAAAUCUGAGUCUAACCCGCUUACCAUAGUAUCACCACAAAAGCAUUUCCUCAACCUCAUUAUUUCUUCAACCUCAUCAAGACCUGCAAACCUUUGUCCCUGCCAGAUUUUCACAAUUACCUUCCCCUUCAUGCUCACAUCCCACCUGACCCAGCUUAGUAAUGAGUAUGAUACUAACUCCCUUACAAAAGCCCAGAACCCUUUUACCUCCACCUUUUUUCAUCAGAACAUCUGAACAUUGGCUGGGCAAGGUGGCUCAUGUCUGUAAUCCCAGCGCUUUGGGAGGCUGAGAUGGGCAGAUCACUUGAGGCCAAGAGUUUGAGACCAGCCUGGCCAAUAUGGGGAAACACUAUCUUUACUAAACAUACAAAAUCAUCCAGGCAUGGUGGUGGGCGCCUGUAAUCUCAGCUACUCAGGAAGCUGAGACAGGAGAAUCGCUUGAACCCGGGAGGCAGAGGUUGCAGUGAGCCAAUAUCACGCCACUGCACUCCAGCCGGGGUGACAUAGUGAAACUCCGUCUCAAAAAACAAAACAACAACAACAACAAAACCAUCUGAACAUUGCUGGAAAGUUGAAAGUGAUUGCUCUUCCUUUAAGGUGAGGUCCACAAAUUUCAAACGAGCCCUCAAGCCUGCCUAGCAAUUCUACUGUAUUACUCCACUGUAGCCCCCUGCUCACACUCUUAAAUGGUGAUUUUUCAUCCUUCUUCCUCCUCAAGCUUCCUUUGUCCCCUUUGCAUCCUUCUCUCUAAGCAGAUGGCCUUGCCUCACACUUCACAGAAAUAAUGGAACCAGACAGGAGCUUAUCAUCUACCAACAUCUCUGCACCUUCCCCGCAAUCUUUGACUCCCCAGAUUUUACAAUAAAUGAAGCGUUUUUGUUCCUAUCAGAGUCACCCCUCCACUUGUUCUCUGGAUCCUUCCUUCCUUAGUCACCAGUUUCUCCCUUGGUACUGGAUCAUUCCUAUCUGCUUCAGAAAACAUGCUCUAAUAGCUCCUAUCAUAAAAAAAAAAAAGUUUUAAGAACCACCACUCAAAACUCCUGGAUCCUGCGUCUCCCUGUAGCCACUUCCCCCAUUUUUCUGCUCUCAUUCACACCAAAACCUUGUAAAUUCUUUGCAGUUGUUGAUUCCACACCUGCUCCAUUUUCUCCUCCAGUCAGUCUGAUCAGGCCUCUGCCCCCACCUGCCCAGGAAGAGACAUUGCUCUCCUCAAGCUGACCUGGGAACUCGAUGUUGCAGAAGCCAGUGCUCACUUUGGGGACUCAUCUUACUCCUGGCUUCUCCUCCUUCAUGUACCUCUCUUGGCUUGCCUGAGAUCAGUAAGGCUACCACAUCCCAGCACAUAGC